GCCGAUGUAGCUCAGCUGGCUAGAGCAGCUGAUUUGUAAUCAGCAGGUCGUGGGUUCGAGUCCCUCGAUCGGCUCAA
rnacentral:tRNA from 4 species